UACGUAGGCAGCGAGCGUUGUUCGGAAUACUGGGCGUAAAGAGUGUGUAGGCGGUGCUCUAAGUUCGGUGUGAAAUCUCCUGCUUAACUGGGAGGGUGCGCCGAAAACUGGAGUGCUCGAGCGUGGGAGAGGGAAAGCGGGAAAUUCCCUGGGUGUAGCGGUGAAAUGCGUAGAUAUCAGGAGGAACACCUGCGGUGUAGACGGCUUUCUGGACCAUUGCUGACGCUGAGACACGAAAGCCGUGGGUAGCAAACAGG
rnacentral:rRNA from 1 species